UUUUCGUUAGCAAUGGUUUAUUGUUGCUAGAUAUACAUUAAAUUCCCCAUCUACUAUCUUCCUUACUUCUAACCUUUUGGGAAAAUCGAAAAACUACCUCCCUUUAGUACUUCCCUUCAGCCUAAUUUCCUUUUAGAGAAAGUGCUACACUUAAAAAUUGGAGCAAGUUUUCUUUAGAAUAGUUGCGUAAAAAAAAAAAAAAAAAAAAAAAAUGAAAAUCUCUGUAAAAUCAUAAAUUUCUUCGAUCCACUCUGUAGGUUAGGUUUCAAAUAAAAAGGGAACAAAUUACAGAAGAUAAAAUUUAGUAAAAAUAAAAAGCCAAAUAUUGACUUCACUCCUCCUUCUCUGGGACUAAAGCAACGAUGGCACAAACGAUUGUCUGCGAUAUUUUAAAAUUUGAAUGAUGUAUCUUCGAUUUCAACGUCUAUAUUAAACGAAUAACACGACGUUAAAAUACUGUAAACGAUUUAUGUUAAAGCGAAUUUUUUAUUAUAUGAAAUUCACGUGAUAAACAAAUAAAAUUUAAUGUACCCGCGUUUGCUCACG